CAAAGAAAAAAUUAUGCCAUCGCUGCAUGUUUCAGUAUCUCCCUUUGACAUGCGAAUAUAACAAGAAAAGCGUCAUUUAAAAUACCAUAUAAAGUCAGGAAAAGCGUCUUUACUGGAUAUUUUUCCAGCAACAACCACAACAGAAGAGCAUUUUGGCAGCAGCGAAGCUAACUAGCAUCAGUUAGCAACUAGCAAGGAAGCUAGUACAACUUUACCACUGCUCCGGCAGAAAAAAACCUGAUUUAUUUGGGCCCCAGUGACGGAGCCAUUCACCAGCACGGCCCAUAAAUGGUCGACUCGGGCAGCACAGUGCGUUUCCCCUCCAAAUAAAAAACACAAAAGACUCUGGAGAACAGCCAACAUGCCAGGAACGAAAGGUAACAAGUCGGACAAGAAGUCAGCUACCAAGCAACCUCAAAGUCCUAAAGAACAGCCGAAAAAAGGUGAUCAGAAAGGAGAUGAUAACAAGAAGCAAGGAGGACAGCCGAAGGGAGAGAAGCAAUAACUUCCAGGCGUUUGUGAAGAUGGCUUUGGAGACGCUGCUGGGGUCCUGUCGUCGUAAACACGGGGAUCCUCAGGGGAGACGGGGCUGAGCGAACCUUCCCUUCUCAAGCCGCUGUGCAGCCUUUCAAUACAACAUCUGCUUUUCCCCACAGAGAGGCACAAGGCAGAACUGAUUUCCAUCCAUCACCAUCUGCUCCUCUCAGCCUGUCUAACCCAAACUCUUCCUCACUGGAUGUGAAGAAACAGACUGGACCAGACUAAUCCCUCCUUUAUGCAAACAGUUCAUCCGUUUUUUUGUAAAUACUAUUUCAAAUAAAGAAUAUUUAUUACACACGG